rnacentral:lncRNA from 10 species
CAGAUGAACAGAGCUGACUGAGUGACCUUAGCCAAUGCUACAUGGAACAGAAGAACCUCCCAGGCUGAAGUGCAACGGCGCGAUCCUCAACUCACCGCAACGUCUGCCUCCCGGCUUCAAGCGAUUCUCCUGCCUCAGCCUCCCAAGUAGCUGGGACUACAGGCGUGUGCCACCACGCCCAGUUAAUUUUGUAUUUUUAGUAAAGACAGGGUUUCUCCAUGUUGGUCAGGCUGGUCUUGAACUCCGGACCUCGGCCUCCCAAAGUGCUGGGAUUACAGGUGUGAGCCACCGAAUCCAGCCGAGAGCUUUCUUGUUUUGCUUACUAAACUUUUGCUCCAACCUCACCCUUGUGUUCGUGCUCUGUGACACAAAGAACUCCGGAUACUAUCUCAGACAACCAAAGACUGCUACAUUUUGGCGCACUGGUGAGACUACAACACCUUGCUAAUUUUUGUAUUUUUGUAGAAACAGGUUUUCACCGUGUUGCCCAGGCUGGUCUUGAACUCCUGACCUCAAGCAAUCUGCCUUGGCCUCCCAAAGUGCUGGGAUUACAGGUGUGAGCCACCACAUCCAGCAGAAGGUCAUUCUUCACCUAUCAAAAUGGCAAAGAUAUUUUAAAAAGAAAAGAUAAAAAUUGGCAAAGUUCAGGGAAAUUGCUGAUGUGUAAGUGAUUGUGUGAAACUGUUCUGAAGGGUUACAUGAAAUACAUAUUCAAAGCCUUCAACGUGUGCCUACUAUUUGACCUAAAUAUCUCAUUUAAUAUUUUUCCAAAGAAAAUAAUUUAAGGGUCAAAUGUUUUAGAGUAUUUAGGAUAUUUACUGCAACAUUGUUUAUAAUAGCAAAAAAGAAAUACUAGAAAAAGCUUCACUGUACAGCAACAAAUGGUUAAAUAUAUAAUGUAUAAUCUAUACAAUAGCAUGCAGUAGGUCUCUUAACUCCACUUAACACAUUCACAAAACUCCCCAGGGCGCAUCCCUCCCCAUUAGCCACCUCCCAUCAUGUCAUAGGUAGAUAUGCAAAAUGCUAUAUUGAAGGGCCAGGUAAAUCUCAGUCAGGAUGGCAUUACGGCAUGGAGAGACAAGUUAUUAUAGUACAGCACAUGCUUGAUUCCAUGAGUCAAACUGCAUGCUUCCAAGAGAUAGUUGUGUUCGCUCCUGUGACUAUUUCAUGCCAGAGGUGCUUGUUGACACUGUGAUUUCAAUAAACAUUACAUAAACUAAUAUAAAAAAAUUGCUUGAGACAGGGUCUUGCUGUCACCCAGACUGGAGUGCAGUGGCAUGAUCAUAGCUCACUGCAGACUCAAACUCCUGGACUCAAGCAAUCCACUCACCUCAGCCUCCUAACUGGGACUACAGGUGCACACCACCAUGCUCAGAUAAUUUUUUAACUUUUUGUAGAGAAAGGGUCUCACUAUGUUUCCCAGGCUGGUCUCAAGCGAUCCUCCCAUCUCAGUCUCCCAAAGUGCUGGGAUUACAGGCAUGAGCCACCACUGUGCCUGGCCUAAAAAUUUUUUGUUAAAAAUGCUUUCCACCGGCCGGGUGCAGUGGCUCAUGCCUAUAAUCCCAGCACUUUGGGAGGCCAAGGUAGGUGGAUCACCUGAGGUCAGGAAUUUGAGACCAGCUGGCCAACAUGGUGAAACCGCCUUUCUACUAAAAAUACAAAAACUAGCCAGGCAUGGGGGCUGACACCUGUAAUCCUAGCUACUCAGGAGGCUGAGGCAGGAGAAUCGCUUGAACCCGGGAGGUAGAGGUUGCAGUGAGCCAAGAUCAUGCCACUGCACUCCAGCUGGAGCGACAGAGUGAAACUCUGUCUCACACACACACACACACACAAAAAUACUUUCCACCUAAUUCUGAGGCAGAGCCAAGUUUGUGAACACUAAUGUAGAACCCACAAUAAAUAUUGCUUCCUUCUUGGGAGGACUUUUUUCAGAGAUUAUUUUUUCUUCUAAGUUACCUUCCUGUCAAAAAAGGAACGGUCUUGGCUACAGAUUUUUUUUUUUUUUUUUUUUUG